GAAAAAUAAUGUGGAUGAUGUAUUUUUGUUAAAAUUAUUGUGCUGAAAUUUCCAAUAAAAAAAAAAAAAAAACCCCAACAAAGGUUUUAUUGUGGCCCCAGGAACAGACUGGGGGAAAGGGUCUAAUUUCUAAACUCUUUAGACAGUCCCUGGCGACACCCGCCUAAUGUAAGGUUACCAGACGUUUCUGGGGACAGUCCCCGGAUUUAUAGAUCAGUCCCCAUACAAAAUCCAUUGAAAUGGAAAAGAGUCCCUGGACUCAUUGAAAAAAAUCUGGUAACAACCUAAUGCAUGACUGGUUGCUUUGCACCAGGCAGUGAAUCACAAUGCAGGUUUGAGGUUCCUGGCCUGUCUUGUGAUGCGGACUCAAGCUCAGAGCAGGAGACACUAAGGAACGUACAUAACAGGACCAGUAUGCUAUGUUCUAGAGCUAAGUCCACAGGAAAUGCCAACAUUCACUUACUGCCAGGAGUUUUCCAGAUGCCAUAUUCUAUACCGACGAAGCAAGGGUCACUACAGCAAACCUCUGCAAGGCUCUACACGCUGAGGAUGCCAGAACCUCCGUUCAAACGGCCACACACUUUGUUGCUGGGCAACAACCCUUGGUGACAUGGAAUGCACGGCCACCGUGCCAAGAUUCUAGGAGAGACAGUGUGUCAUGGUAGACUUGGACCGGGGAAAGCCCCACUCAGCCAGGAGACUCCCUGGAUGACCUUGGGGUAGUCACUCACUUUCAGCCUAACUGGCCUCACCAGAUUCUUGUGAGGAGAAGACAGGGAGGAGAAAUAUGGACCUUACCUUGAGAGAAAGGCAGGAUAUACAUGUCAUAAACCACCAGUUGUGAAAAGCUGACCCAUACCAGCUGCACAGUAUUUCUUCCACAGGAUUUUGUACUUGAUGGUUCCCUAUGCUAGACUGAGAAUAUCCCUUCCAACUUGCCUGCAUUUAGACACAGCCACAAGAUUGAGAGUGAAGUCAAUUUGGGUUUAAGCAAGGCCCAAGGCUUAAUGGCUUUACUGAGGCCUCAGAAACAGACUGGGGAAACAGGGAAAGGGUCUGAUUUAUAUAAACCUCAGCCAUCCCCUGGCAACACCCACCUAGCGCAUGACUGGCUGCAUUGUGAUGUGGACUCAAGCUCAGAGGAGACAGAAAGCACCUGCUGAAGUCCCUGCAGGCAGCAUUGAAUACAACCCUGUGUUUUCAGCAGGGGCUGUUAAGUGCUGAAGGGACAAGAAGCUGAGUUUUUCUAUUGUCCCCACCUCCCACAGGCAAGAAGACCCUUUUCAGUCCUGCUUCCCAGUGUGAACAGGAUGGAAGACGUUGGCAAAGAUCUUUCUCUUUAUUAUUUACAUUGGCUAAGCAGUCCCAAUAGCCUGGUUCCUGCAGGUAAGAUGUAUUUUGAGAGAACUGACGGAGCAUCUUCUAUUCACAUGGGGAAGUGGCGUGGGACAGUGAAAAAGGGCUGUUGUGAGCAUCCCCAUCUCUGGGUGGCAGGAGACUCCAGGGGUAUCUGUGCUUACCCAGGGUUCUGUUUCCUUGGAAUGAAGACAACAUGUCUUUUGGCAAGCCUGAAAGUGAAUGCUGUUUCCUGUUCUGCCCCCCCCCCCCCCGGGCAAAUAAGGUGUAUCCACAAAAAUUCUGGGCAAUGCACGCCAUAUUUAUUUUGAAAUGUUACUUGUUUAAUAACUUUUUUAUUAACCAUUGAGAAAAGAAGCAGGAAGACUCAACCUGGGAUGGCAGAACCCCUUCAGACAGUCCUGCUUCCUUGUACAGUCUAAGUAACAGUAAUAAACGAAAAUCUGCCCUUAUUCCCUUAUGGGGGACACAAGAGCCCUUAUAGAGUCCUUUGCAGGUUCUCCAUUGGUAGGAGAAAAUAACAGAGGCCAACCAGAGAAUAUUGAGAAGCAGAGCAGCUAGUAAGCCUGAUCUUUAUUGAACUGUUGCAACAGGAUGCCACCUUCACAUGCAGGAGGCGGGGGACCUCGUACCAAGGAGUGCCCGCCCUUAUAUAGACAUUUUAAAUUGCCCGCCCUGGAGUCCAAGACCACACCCAGAAACAUCAUACAUACAUCACAGAAAGGGCGGGCUACAACAGAAAUCUGAGUGCGUUGUUUACCUCCUGUCUGGCAGGUUACCUUUUAAUGCUUACUUGAUUGGAUAUCCUAGGGAGCCUGGCCAGUCUUUUGUAAUGAUAAAUACCGUAUUUUUCACUCUAUAACACACACCCGACCAUAACACGCACGUAGUUUUUAGAGGAGGAAAACAAGAAAAAAAAAUAUUCUAAAUGAAACAGUGGAUGUAUGAUUUUUGUGGUUCAUGCUGUGGCCACAGACAUGUGAUCUGACAGUGAGUUUGGUGUAGCCCAAUGCAAAAAUCCUGAGGAUCCAUGUGGAUCCAUGCUUUGUAACCACGUUUUUGCACCACUGCGGCCCCAGGCAACAGUGGGUGCGUGAUUUUUUUUGGUGCAAGAUGUAGCCAUGGACAUGCUAUGUGAUCUGAUGGUGAAUUUGGGGUGACCCAGUGCCAAAAUCCUGAGGAUCCAUGUGGAUCCGUGCUUUGUAACCACGUUUUAAGUGGGGAGGGAAGGAAAAGCACUCAAGGGACAAGGAGCACGCGUGGGGUGUGUGGAGAAGGAUGCUGUUAAUAAUGCAGGAGAGGGGUUUAAGGGGAGAAGGAGCACGCGUGGGGUGUGUGGAGAAGGAUGCUGCUAAUAAUGCAGGAGAGGGGUUUAAGGGGAGAAGGAGCACGCGUGGGGUGUGUGGAGAAGGAUGCUGCUAAUAAUGCAGGAGAGGGGUUUAAGGGGAGAAGGAGCACGCGUGGGGUGGGCGGAGAAGGAUGCUGCUAAUAAUGAAGAAGAAGGGGUAUAAGGGGAGAAGGCUCCUCUCCCCUCCCGCUUUGCUCCUUUAAAGCAAGCAGGCUCUGCUUUUCUCCCUCCUCCCCGCUCAUCCCCGGCUUAGUGAGCAGAAAAACUUUGCUGCUAUUUAGCGAGCUGAGUGGGGAGGAGAGAGGGACAGAGAGCCUGCUUGCUUUAAAGGAACCAACCGGACAGGAGCCGCUUACACUGGUAUAAGCGGCUCCUCUCCUUUCCUGCUUUGCUCCUUUAAAGAAGCAGGCUCUCUGUCCCUCUCUCCUCCCCACUCAGCGGCUCUUCUCCCGCUUUGCUGUUUCAAAGCGAGCCACGGAGGAGGGAAGGAAGGGGAACCAUGGAUCCUCUGCUCACGACUGCAGCAGAUCCCCCCCGCCACCCGUAGGCAUUCCCUCCAUAACACGCACAGACAUUUCCCCUUACUUUCUAGGAGGAAAAAAGUGAGUGUUAUGGUGCAAAAAAUACGGUACUUAGUUCCUGAGCCAGGUCACAGGCUCACCCUAUUCAUACACAGACAUACCCUUAAGACAGGAUUUGUGAAUGAAAAGACAAUGGGGAGGCUUUUCCAUUUUCCUUGACCUUGCAGAGAAAUCAUUUGGUCAGUUUGGGAGUCAAAAUGGUUUCAGGGCUGUUUUCCUGUGUUGCUUCAGACAUGUGGUUUAUAUAUUUAUGUACGUGUUUGCUUGGUACAUUUAUGAACACUAUAUAUGUGUGUGUGUAUAUAUAUGACCUUAAAUUUUUUAUUUCAUAACCCUCUCCUUCUCUGACAGGUUGAGAUGCUGCUGGAGGCCUUCUACAAGAUCACCGAGGGCCCUACAGUAGAGGGCAGAAAAGUGGCCAUCUGCCCUUUCUCCACCUUACCAUCGCCUGGAGAAAGUGGUUGAGUACCUCCUCCAAUUUCCUAUUGAGUAUGGGGCACUCAAACUUCUACUGGACUAAGAGAUGUUGGGAAUCUGUGGGGUACACAAAGGAAGGGAUGUAGAAGAGGACAGAGGAAGAACACGUUUAACAAAGCCCAAGGCUUGAGAUGUCUGCAGGCAAGUCAUGUCUUGUUGGGGCCAAGCUGACCUUCUUUGCCCAUAGCUGUACUUGGACAGAGCUGCAGCAAAUGAUCCAGCCGUCCUUCAUCCCUGGCUGAUGCAGCAGGAGAGAGCAGGCUUUACUUCAGCCCUGCAGUCCCAGAGCAAGUGCUGACUGAAGCCCCUUUUUCUAUUGGCAGGGAUGGAGAUAAACAAGCACAAUUAUUGUUGUUGUUGUUGUUGUUAAUUUAUUAUUUGUACCCUACCCAUCUGGCUGAGUUUCCCCAGCCACUCUGGGCGGCUUCCAACAAAGAUUAAAAAUACAUUAAAAUGUCACACAAUAAAAACUUCCCUGAACAGG